UACGAAGGGGGCUAGCGUUGCUCGGAAUCACUGGGCGUAAAGCGCACGUAGGCGGAUCUUUAAGUCAGGGGUGAAAUCCCAAGGCUCAACCUUGGAACUGCCUUUGAUACUGGGGAUCUCGAGUCCGGAAGAGGUUGGUGGAACUGCGAGUGUAGAGGUGAAAUUCGUAGAUAUUCGCAAGAACACCAGUGGCGAAGGCGGCCAACUGGUCCGGUACUGACGCUGAGGUGCGAAAGCG
rnacentral:rRNA from 1 species